rnacentral:rRNA from 1 species
GACGAACGCUGGCGGCGUGCUUAACACAUGCAAGUCGAACGGAAAGGCCCUGCUUUUGUGGGGUGCUCGAGUGGCGAACGGGUGAGUAACACGUGAGUAACCUGCCCUUGACUUUGGGAUAACUUCAGGAAACUGGGGCUAAUACCGGAUAGGAGCUCCUGCUGCAUGGUGGGGGUUGGAAAGUUUCGGCGGUUGGGGAUGGACUCGCGGCUUAUCAGCUUGUUGGUGGGGUAGUGGCUUACCAAGGCUUUGACGGGUAGCCGGCCUGGGAGGGUGACCGGCCACAUUGGGACUGAGAGACGGCCCAGACUCCUACGGGAGGCAGCAGUGGGGAAUAUUGCACAAUGGGCGGAAGCCUAAUGCAGCAACGCCGCGUGCGGGAUGACGGCCUUCGGGUUGUAAACCGCUUUCGCCUGUGACGAAGCGUGAGUGACGGUAAUGGGUAAAGAAGCACCGGCUAACUACGUG